GUAGUGUGAAAUAUGCUCCUUGUGAUGUAGCAUAUGAAAGUGGAAGUGCUAAUUUUAUUUGUGAUUAACCUUCUUGGUGGAGUAUUAAUUGGUAGAAAUUUGUUACAGUUGUCUUGAAAUAAAAAUUUUGAUUUUGGAAUUUCUAUGGCAUUUUGCAAUAUGUGUGAUUUCCAGUGGUUCAUUGCGUGAAAAUAUGCAUCAUAGCGUUUUUCUAAAUUAGUAAUUUAUGACAAGUAAUGAUGUCAUGCUAUUAUGCUGUGAUUAUGUGUAUAUGAUAAAGUCUUUAUUUAUAAUCCCAAAGAUCUGACUCUUAUACAUUGUAUCUGUGUAGCAGAGUACUUUAUUUAGGCUGUCUUCCAUGUUAUAUUUCUUAUAUUGAUGGAAGUGUAAAAUCUUGGCACUAAAUGUAAUAUUUAGUGUUUUUUAU
rnacentral:misc_RNA from 1 species